GUCGAGAAUCUUUCACAAUGGGGGCAACCCUGAUGGAGCGACGCCGCGUGGAGGAUAAGGUCUUCGGAUUGUAAACUCCUGUCAUGCGUGAACAAGGUUGCUUGGUUAAUACCUGGGCAAAUUGAUGGUAACGCAAGAGGAAGAGACGGCUAACUCUGUGCCAGCAGCCGCGGUAAUACAGAGGUCUCAAGCGUUGUUCGGAAUCACUGGGCGUAAAGGGUGCGUAGGUGGCGUGGUAAGUCAGAUGUGAAAGCCCGGGGCUCAACCUCGGAACUGCAUCCGAUACUGCCAUGCUAGAGUACUGGAGAGGUGACUAGAAUUCUCGGUGUAGCAGUGAAAUGCGUAGAUAUCGAGAGGAAUACCAAAGGCGUAGGCAGGUCACUGGACAGUUACUGACACUGAGGCACGAAGGCCAGGGGAGCGAACGGGAUUAGAAACCCCAGUAGUCC
rnacentral:rRNA from 1 species